AGAACGAACGCUGGCGGCAUGCCUAACACAUGCAAGUCGAACGCUCUCUUCGGAGGGAGUGGCGCACGGGUGAGUAACGCGUGGGAACCUGCCUUGGAGUGGGGGAUAACCGAUGGAAACGUCGGCUAAUACCGCAUACGUCCUGAGGGAGAAAGAUUUAUCGCUCUGAGAGGGCCCGCGUCGGAUUAGCUAGUUGGUGGGUAACGGCCUACCAAGGCGAUGAUCCGUAGCUGGUCUGAGAGGAUGAUCAGCCACACUGGGACUGAGACACGGCCCAGACUCCUACGGGAGGCAGCAGUGGGGAAUAUUGGACAAUGGGCGCAAGCCUGAUCCAGCAAUGCCGCGUGAGUGAUGACGGCCUUAGGGUUGUAAAGCUCUUUCGGCGGGGACGAUGAUGACGGUACCCGCAGAAGAAGCCCCGGCUAACUUCGUGCCAGCAGCCGC
rnacentral:rRNA from 1 species